rnacentral:rRNA from 1 species
UACGAAGGGGGCUAGCGUUGCUCGGAAUCACUGGGCGUAAAGCGCACGUAGGCGGAUUGCUAAGUCAGGGGUGAAAUCCUGGAGCUCAACUCCAGAACUGCCUUUGAUACUGGCGAUCUUGAGUCCGGGAGAGGUGAGUGGAACUGCGAGUGUAGAGGUGAAAUUCGUAGAUAUUCGCAAGAACACCAGUGGCGAAGGCGGCUCACUGGCCCGGUACUGACGCUGAGGUGGCGAA